CAAGAAGGUAACACAGGUAACAAAAACAUAUGAAAAUCUCGCAGAACCGUUUAGGAGUUUUAGAAAUAAGGAUACUUUAUUUAAAGGGAGAACAUAAUGCCUCUUAUACCGUUGAUACUGGUUUCUUUAUGGACGUUGACACAUGCGAAGGGAAAUACAACAUACGACUUAAAAACUGAAAUAACUGCCAAAGUAUUGAAAGGGUACAACAGGUAUAUCCUACCAGGAGACGAACCAUUCCGAGUCUGGGUGAAUAUAGGACUUGGUGCACUUGGUGAAAUAGACGAGAUUGAAGAAAAGCUUUCUACUGUUUUAUAUAUGGAGUACCUGUGGAUUGACGAAAGAAUUAACUGGGACUAUGAGCUUUAUGGAAACAUAUCAUAUCUAACAUUGGGGAUGGGUAGAUGUAUGGACCCCAAUAUUUCGUGUGCUUAAUCCACACGCCGAGGCACUACAUAAACAUUCAGAUCUAUCAACGGAAAGUGUCUUUUACAACAAUGAUGGAAUCGGAUUUUUUGAUCAGAUGGUCACCACAAAGACUACUUGUGAUCUUGACAUGUCAUACUUUCCAUUUGAUAUUCAGACUUGUCAUAUCAAAAUGUACAUAAUUGGCAACAAUAAAUUUGAUUUUACGUUGUAUGUUGAAUGGGACACGGGAACUGUAUCAGAAAGCAGAAAUGGCGCAUGGACUCUUGUAGGGAAGAACUAUUCAGUUGAUGACAAUUUAGAAAUGAUUGACCUGGAACUUUCAUUUGAACGGCGACCAUUGUUUCUGCUAUUAAACAUUUUUCUUCCAAUUAUUGUGUUAGCCCUUUUGACACCCAUUGUUUUUGCUUUGCCGAAGCACUCGGGAGAGCGUGUUGGUUAUUCGAUAACAAUGCUUUUGGCAAUUUCGGUUUACAUGACAAUUAUAAGCGACAAUUUACCUCAAAAUUCAGACCCGAUGCCCUUGGUUUCGAUCAUGAUGUUUAUUUGGUACAUCCUGGAUUCUGCUAUCGUGUUUAUAGUCAUUAUUAAUACCAAGAUAUACAACAUAAAAGAAAACAAGCCCGUGCCACUACUAGCACGCAAAUUCGUGCAUCUAACGCGAAUAAUCACAUGUGAGAAAGCUCAGAAUGAAAAUGAAACUUCAGAGGACAAAGGUGAAUCCCAGAGCACUGAGGCAAAUACCGAAGAUUGUAGCACUGCGUUGGACCGGGGCGACUGUUCUAGUCAUGCCAAUAUCAAGUGGUCACAUGUAAGCACUGCCAUUGAUAAAUGGUUUUUUGUCAUCUCCUAUGCUUUUAAAAUUUUGAUUCCUAUAAUUUUCUUUUCAAUGGCAAAGGCUAACAGUAAACCACCUGAAAACUAAGGUUUGUUUUACAAAUUUUGUAACAACAUGGUCUUAUACCAUCAUGAUUUAUUUUUCAGUUAAAUGCGAUAAUCUCAAGAGUUAGUUAUUCUGCUUUUGCAUGGUAACUUGAAAAAGAGAAUCGUUCAAUUACGGAUUGUUUUGACUGUUUGUGUUUGGUUGCUGUUCUAUUAUAGUACAUGUAUAAGAUGUUGCUUAU
rnacentral:lncRNA from 1 species